rnacentral:rRNA from 1 species
UACAGAGGUCUCAAGCGUUGUUCGGAUUCAUUGGGCGUAAAGCGCACGUAGGCGGUCUUGUAAGUCGGGUGUGAAAGCCCGGGGCUUAACCCCGGAAGUGCACUCGAAACUGCAAGGCUUGAGUAUGGAAGAGGGUCUCGGAAUUCCCGGUGUAGAGGUGAAAUUCGUAGAUAUCGGGAGGAACACCAGUGGCGAAGGCGGAGACCUGGGCCAAUACUGACGCUGAGGUGCGAAAGCGUGGGGAGCAAACAGG